rnacentral:rRNA from 1 species
AUUGAACGCUGGCGGCAUGCUUUACACAUGCAAGUCGAACGGCAGCGCGGGCUUCGGCCUGGCGGCGAGUGGUGAACGGGUGAGUAAUGCAUCGGAACGUGCCCAGUAGUGGGGGAUAGCCCGGCGAAAGCCGGAUUAAUACCGCAUACGACCUGAGGGUGAAAGCGGGGGACCGAAAGGCCUCGCGCUAUUGGAGCGGCCGACGUCGGAUUAGCUAGUUGGUGGGGUAAAGGCUUACCAAGGCGACGAUCCGUAGCUGGUCUGAGAGGACGACCAGCCACACUGGGACUGAGACACGGCCCAGACUCCUACGGGAGGCAGCAGUGGGGAAUUUUGGACAAUGGGGGCAACCCUGAUCCAGCCAUGCCGCGUGCGGGAAGAAGGCCUUCGGGUUGUAAACCGCUUUUGUUCGGGAAGAAAUCCUCUGGGCUAAUACCCCGGGGGGAUGACGGUACCGGAAGAAUAAGCACCGGCUAACUACGUG